rnacentral:tRNA from 1 species
AGCCUAGUGAUUAAGGCUUUGGAUCGCCAAUCCGGAGACAGCGGGUUCGAUUCCCGU